rnacentral:lncRNA from 1 species
AUGGGGGGUAAGGAGUGUACACUGGGCUCUGACCUGGCCACGUCGGCCCGCUGCCGUACCCCCAGGCUGCCUGACUGUCCACACGAGGGACAAGCCCAGCCCAGGACGGGUGCCCGUGGGGCCCGUGUGCACUUGGCGUCACGUGUGGUCCUGUCUCCAAUAAAAAGUCUCGUGGUGACCGACUCGGGCCUCCGCCUCCCGCCUGCUCGGUGCCCCACAGGGUGGGUCAGACACCCCAGGGUGCCAGGACCGCCUUGUACACACUCCCCAGCAUGGCUGUUUUGACAUGGGCAACCCCUGUUCCCCAGACAGCUCUGUACCCCCAGGAACCGCACGAGACCCUGGGCAGAACCGGCCCCACUCCUGGCCAGCAGCCUGGGCAUCGGGGUGGGAGAGGGGAGGCCUUCUCCCCUCAAGAGUGCACCUCCCGGGGCUGAAACUGGGCCCUUGUUUCCCAUCAUGGUCCCCAGGGUCCCAGUCGGUCUCAGUGGGUCUCUCUUGUGGCCGGGCUUCAGUCCUGAGUUGUUGAGACUCUUCAUUCAGAAAAUCAGUCACUGUCUCAAGCACUCAGUUGUGUCCGACUCUUUGCAACCCCAUGGACUGUAACCCGCCAGGCUCCUCUGUCUAUCCGAUUCUCCAGGCAAGAAUACUGGAGUAGGUUGCCAUUUUCUCCUCCUGGGGAUCCUCCCGACCCAGGGGUCAAACCCACAUCCCCUGUGUCUCCUGCAUUGGCAAGUGGAUUCUUUACCACUUCCCUGAUGGCUCAGCUGGUAAAGAAUUCGCCCAUACUGCUGGAGACCUGGGUUUGAUUCCUGGGUUGGGAAGAUCUGCUGGAGAAGGGAUAGGCUACCCACUCCAGUAUUCUGGGGCUUCCCUUGUGGCUCAGCUGGUAAAGAAUCCACCUGCAAUGCGAGAGACCUGGGUUCAAUCCCUGGGUUGGGAAGAUCCCCUGGAGAAGGGAACGGCUACCCACUCCAGUAUUCUGACCUGGAGAAUUCCAUGGGCAGAGGAGCCUGAUGGGUUAUAGUUCAUGGGGUCGCAAAGAGUCAGACACGGCUGAGCAACUAACACAAUACUUCUAUACCACUGAGCCACCUGGGAAGCCCCAUUCAGAAAAUCAGUCCCUAAUGACUGUUUAUUCAUAAAACAAAUUUGAAGCUUAAGGAUAUAGCGUUCCCUGAGUUGCUGUAAUGAAAUCCAGUAUUUAUCAAGUGCCUGCACUGGGGACCGUGGGCGCCAGGGGAAGUGAAUGUACCUAGUGUCCUGCUUGGGCCGGCCUGAGAGGGGACCCCCAGGCUGGGGUGUCUGCACUGCUGGCCUGUGUAGA